AUGCUCAUCUACUGGCCUGAAGAAGAGUUCCGUUGCUUGGUAUUAUUGAAUAGUUUAUCCAUUGAAUCCUGCAGCAACCUAGUAGGGUACACCCAGGAGAAAGGAUGCCGUUCUCAAGUAAGGGAUCAACUCCUGCCAAAUCUAAAAGAACUAACAAUAGAAUGUUGUGAAAGUUUGACAGAGCUUUUCGUUCUCCCGCCAUCUCUCACAAGUAUUUACAUUACAGGGUGCGAUAAUUUAGAGUCCAUACUGAGGCUGGAUGAUACAGAGUUGGAGAGUAUACUACACUUUGAUACAGCAUCAUCUUCGGGACACUUCAAUGACCUCGCGUCCACAUGUUUGCUAGAGCAGUCACCUUCACCCAGAAUUAAUACUUUGCCAUGUGUUGAUUAUUUGCGUAUAAUUAGCUGUAAGAAGCUUCGUUUCAUGCCAACGCAGUUAGAUGCACUCCAAUUUUUGGAUAUUGAUAAUUGCAAUGGGCUGGAGUCGCUGGAUUGUUUGGGAGACCUACCGUUACUGGAAACUCUAUACCUUAUGAGAUGCAAACAUCUGGCAUCUAUACUAGGAAGUCUUGGGAGUUACUCGGCCCUUCAGAAGAUCUGGAUUGAAUACUGCCCAACUUUAAAUAUGAAGCCACUUCAUGGACAUCUCCAACAACGGCUUGAUAGCCUUGAAUUGAAGGAUCUAUCUAAUGCUGGUUCAAGUUAUCCUAAUGAAGGGCCUAAACUAUGGGAACCAAAGUCCUGGAAAUAUAUGGUUCCUUCACUGCGCAAGCACAAGCACUGA
rnacentral:rRNA from 1 species